GCAACAUUUAUAUAGCAAUACUGAAAGGGGUUUGAAAUGAUCUGCCCAGCGAGGUUGUGCUGCAUCCUUGGAUGUUUUCAAGACUUGAAAAGAUAAAGCCCUGAGCAAUCUGGUUUGAGCUUGGAGCUGACCCGGUUUUGUGCAAGAGCUUGCCCAGAGUCACCUUCCAACCUGAAUUAUCUUGUGAACAUAUGAAAAUGAAGGAGGCUGAAGUUCCACCACCGGCAUCUGCAGCAACACUACUUGUCUGUUUGAAAAGAAAGGAGCCCACUCUUUCUUCAAAUCCCCAUCCUUGAAGCAUGACACACUGGGGCUUUGUGCACAAGCAGACUGAAAGCUGCUGGGAACUGAAGAGCUAUGAGGAAGGCAGACUCGAAGAAAACACCUAUUAUGUUCAUGUGGCUCAUGUCUCCUUUAAAUGUAGCAGAGAAAAAGGCGAGCUGCUUGCAAUAGAAAAGGCAGGGCUUUGGUUGUUUUAUAGGAAUUACAUGGUUAUGCAUGUUCUUGAACAAAAGUAUGCAGUCAUAAAGAUACCGUCUGUAAAUAUUCCUUGGUAACAAUCCAUGGAGGGACCUGGUUAGACAGAACAAACACCCUUCUGUACAUAGCAUACAAUAUUGCAAUGUAUCAUUUUCAUGUUACAGCUGUCCCUAGACUAGGAGAAAGCUUUAGAAAAGGUACCUGUUGCUCCUUUGGCACAAUUUUGUUGGCUGGGCAGAGCCUGUAUACAGAUGGUAUUAUUGCAAUAACAGCAAUUACGGGCCUUUGGUGGGUGAUUUGUGGUUUAGGUCACCACCAAUAAAAAUAGCUUUGAAAUAAAAACAGAGGAAUGAGGUUUGAGGAAAAAAAAGACAGAAAAGGAAGAAGAGAAGGAAUUCAAAAUGCAGAGAAGUGCUCCAUAUGUCACAAAGCAGCAUGAGAACCAGGCCUAUAACCUGCCUGCGGGAAUCAGAUAAGCUGCCCUUCUGUAGACCCCAAUUGCCAGAGAUCAAAGGAAAAGCAGAGAUUAGAAGUAUCUUUGUGGUGGUGCAGUGGCUGUAACAUACAUUUCUGAAAGGAUUUGAUGCUACUAGAUUCCUCUUCUCAAAAGCAGCUGGGUUCAUGCUUUUCCUCACUCCAGUACAGAGUUUGCUAUGGAAACUGUGAGCGUCAUGGUGUUUCUCCUUUGUAAGUUUCUUCCCUACUUCUUCAGAAAGCUAUCCCUUCCCCCAAACAGUGAGAAGGUGCUGGCAUCCCCUAUGCAGAGGAAGUGUUAGAAGAGAAAUAAGACGGUGUUAAAACCUAGUCACUCAGAAGUCAUCUGGAAGCUGAGAGCUGUUUGUGAACAUUUGGGAAGAGAGACUGGCACUUCUGUGUGAGUACGUGAAGGGGACGGAUAAGGUUUAUAAUGAUUUGCUGUCUCCACUUGCCUCCCAGUGUUCCUAUGAAACAGAUUUUCUGUUUUUACCAAUUUACCCCUGAAAUGGUCACAUAAUGUAUUCUUCCUCACCUCAAUGCCGUGAAGCUCACAGACCAGACUUUUGCUUCUUGCUUGUCCUUGACUGUCCUACUUGAGUCUGUGCAUUUGGCAUCCCAAUGGUGUGCCACGUUGCAGACAGGGAGCCCAGGCUCCCCACAGGACAGUCUUGAGUGUAGAGAGAAAUGAAGACAAAAAAUCCCUUUGUCAUUUGAGGCUUUGAACAGAUGGACAGGAAAGGGACUGUGCAGUAGAAGAGCUGGGAUGUCUGGUGUGUGCAGCAGCAUCUUGGUCAAUAAAGGAACUGCAACUGUUCAUUAA